rnacentral:sRNA from 1 species
AUGAUAUCAUGGUACGUACCAAAAAGGAAAGGAAAAAAAAAUGUCAAUAUAGAGUAGAGAAAAUCUAGUACCACACCUUAUCUCACAAUUUCUUUGCUAUAAUUAUGAUGUGACAGAGUAUGAAAUGAUAAAUUCAUGUCUAAGUGAUAGGUAUUACUCAUAGUCUGUUACAUAAGAGUUAUCAUAAAAAGUUGUGAAAUAGUAUAUGAUACUAGAACUACUCUAUAUGGAAGGAAAAUUUCUCUACAAUACCACGCUCAUUUGCCUCAACAACUGUCCUAUGUGGUAGAUUGAGUGGUGGAGAAAAAAUGACUAGUUCAUAUGAUAGAUAAUCAAUCAUAGUCUCUUACAUGGUACGAUUGUGGCAAAUUCUGUGUUUUUCUAGGAUGAAAGCAAAUUAUCUAUUUUGGAUGUCCAAAAUCAUUGUAUGCUUUAUUUUAUUUAUGCUCCAUUUGUUUCAACAUUAAAAUUUUCAAGAAAAUUAAUCAUUUUUCUAAAAGUAUUUUUUAGAAAAUUAUCUCAUUUUCUUAUGUUUAGUAGCAAUCUUAUAAUAACUCAAAAAAUUAUCUCUUAACCUUCCUUAAUUAGCAUGGCAUGAGAUAGAAUUGUUUUUUAGAUAAUUUUAGUGGAAAACAAUUCUAUCUCAUGUUAAGAUAAAUAAGAGAAGUUCAAAAAUAGCUGUCAUUUGACCAUUUUUUUUCUUAUACUACCAAACAUAGGAAAACACAACAAAAUUAUUUUCACAUAAUAUUUCUGCUAAAACAAAUGGAUUUGUAAUGUAAUUUUUAGGAUAAAAAGUUUCUCUUUUAGUGGAGACAUGAUUCAAUUCAAGUUCUUUAUUUGAUGGCAUGAGACUGCUAAUUUACUUGUGGAUAGAUAAAACAUGAAUGUAUAUUUAAUAAUAGUUAAAUAUACUAUUAUUGGUCCGUAGAGUUUAACCAACUAUUUUUGCUUUUAAUUUAUGAGAUGAUCCGACCAAACCAAAAAAAAAGAAAGUUAUAUCAUCACUUUAUUAAAUAUACUAGCGACUAAAAGAGACCAUUUUUAAGUUGUUCUUUUGUUUUGUUUUAUUUAAAAAAAAAGGGUUUGUUUGAAGCUAAAAUUGAUCACUUUGAGUUAGGAAUCAAAAUCAAUCACAUUAAAUUGUUAGGCUCUAAAAGUAAUCACUUUUAAGUAUUUUAGGGACUAAAAAUAAUUACUUUAAGUUUGUUAGGAAUUUCCAAAUUACAAAUGAUUACUUUAAAUAUCACAGAUUAAAAUAAAAUAAUUUUAAUUUUAAUUCCUUGUGCAUUUAUUCUUAGGAAUCAGCAAUGUUUUGGAUUAUGGAGUAUUUUAGUGAAAAACUGAAAAAAAAAAAAUUGGAUUUAUGAUAGUGUGAAAAUUGUAUUUUGAAGACAAGAUGUUAUAUUCAAAGUUUCAUUUUUAUAUUUAAUGAUGUAUUGUAAAUAUGAUUUAAUCAUUAUGGAAAAUGAAUAAUGUUAAAAUUACUAUUAUUUCGACUUCAAAUUUUUUUAAAAAGUCUGAGAUAAGGAGAAUGUCAAUAGUGCCACGCAAAUGACAUUAAUAUUAUGAAUAAUGAUAUAAACACUACAAAUUUUAUCAUAUCAAGCUUACAAAAUGAUGUAUUACUAAUUAUAAAAAUAUAAUUCAAAUAUUCAGUUAUAAGGUAGUUAAAUUCCACGAAUCACAUUAAGUGUCACAUUAAUUUUUAGGUUUUAUAUAAUAAAACUUGUAGUAUUUUUAAUACUUUUUAAUAUUAUAUAUAUACACACAUGUGUGUUUGUUAAAGUUGACAUAUAAUUUAGUAAAAGAGCAUGCAGUAAAAUUAUGAAAUACGGAGUUUAAUCUCUUAUCUAGAAAGAGAAACAAAAAAGAAUUAGAUAGGAAUAAUAAAAAGUGGAGUAAUUUCUAUCUCAAAAAAAAAAAAAAAAGAAGGUAAUUUCAGACAACACAGUGUGUAGUACAACAAAGGUAGGCAGUGGCACGUGGCACAGAGACUUAGAAAGAGAGCAACCAAAAAAAGGCAGGCCUACAAGUAAAGAGGAGUUGUAGUAGGACUAGGACUAGGACUAGGAGCAGGAAAGGAAGACCAUUUCCAAAGUCAUCCAAGCACACAAAACAAAAACCCCAAAAGUAUUAAUAGAAUCAAUCUGAUCCCCUGAGCUAAAUCUAACAUCUAUUACACGUGUCUCAAAUUCAACCCUUGGAUCUGAUUACUCUCAUACUAUCGCUCCUUAAAUACCAGAUAAGACCCCAUCCUCAGAUUUCUUUCCUUCUUUUUUUCUCCCUUUUUGGUCCUAUUUCGCAUUACACAAACAAAGGCUAGGGAUUAGGGAUUAGGGAUUUCUCUCUCUCUCUUCUUUUUGGGUUUCUGAGAAAUCAUCAGAGAACUGGCGAAAUUCCUCCCCUUUCCGAUACCUGAUCUAGGUAUGUUUAUUUCACAAUUCUUCUCAAAAAUUUUUUUUUUUCUAAUUUUUGUUUUUCUGAUUAUUUGAAUCUCUCUUUGAUUAUUAAAUUUUAAAUUAGGAAUAGCGAAAUAUAAGUGCAAUGGAGAAAGAACUGGUGGAAUUUUUCGAAGCGGCGAAAAAAGCAGCGGACGCAGCUGCAUCCGAAUCGGCGGACGGAGGAGCAGAGGAAAGUCGGUGCCUUGAUGCCUUGCAGCAGCUCAAGAAUUUUCCUGUCACUUAUCAACUUCUUGUAUCCACCCAGGUACUUUUUUUCCCCUACUAUAUUAUAUAUACAUUGUUUCUUUAAUUUUUUUUUAUAGGUUGUUACAAAUUAUUUGCAAAACCAAUGGAAUUUGGGAUUUAGGGUUUUUUUUUUUUUUGGUUUUAUGGGUUCCAGUGAAUCUAGAAGCUUUAGUUGAGUAAUAAGGCGUUCAGUUUGAUGAAUGUAAUUGUUGAAAUUUUGAGCUUUGGAUUUUGUGAUUUUGUGACAUAUCAUUGCUAAACUUUACUAUUUAAUCCAUUGUUCAACACAUAUCACCCAAAAAAAAAAACUAUAAUUUUCAUAUUCUAAGAUGCUUUUGGAGGAUUGUGUUGUUACAAAUAGUUUCUAAAACCAAUGGGAUUUUGGAUCCUAGCCAACCCCAAAAAACUUGGGACCAAGGCAUGCUUCUUCUUGAUAUGGGUCCUGUGAAUCUUAAAUCUAUAAGCUUUAAUUUACUAUAGCGUUUUGUUGUUGUUGUUGUUGUUGAACGUAGUGUUAAAAGUUGGAGCUUUGGAAUUUUUCAUAUAGAAAAUCUUGGUGGUAGUUGUGAAAUUAUAGUUGAAACCAAUGCACAAAGCUUCCACUUUUGCAGGGUCUAGAUGAGGUGAUUGGUAGUUGUGUAAUUAUAAGAACAUAAAAUUUAAUUGAUUGUUGAACAAAACAAAAAGUGUGAAAGAUCAAAUGUUGCUCUGUCUUUUGAUUCAUGAUUUAUUGACAAUGUGCCUACGUUAGGUACACAUUAAAAUGCUUAAUGCUGUGUUUUUUUAAUUUUAAUUUCAAUGAAACUGAAUGAGUCAACAUGCAAUAAUCAUUUUUGAGUGUGUAAAAAGUUGUAACACAAGUGAUUGGAAAGGUGCUUUUCUGUUUUCGAAGAACUCCAUAAGAAAAUUUUGAUGUUUGCUUAUUCUUUUAUCAAUUUUGUUAUCCACACAAUUAAUGAUCAUUCAAUGAGCAUUUGAACAAUUUUUAAUUUAGAUGUUUAUCUUCUAUGUUAGGUACACAUUAAAAUGCUUAAUGCUGUGUAUUUUUAUUUUUAUUUAAAUUACACUGUAUGAGCCAACAUGCAAUAACUAUAUUUGAGUGCGUAAAAUACUGUAACACAAGUGAUUGGAAAGGCACUUUUAUGUUAUCAAAGAACUCCAUAAUGAAAUUUUGAUGUUCGUAUAUUCUUUUAUCAAUUUUGUUAUCCACAUAAUUAGUGAUCAUUCAUUGAGCAUUUGAACAAUUUUUAAUUUAGAUGUUCUUCUUCCUACAUCACAUGUUUAUGAACUGCCUAUGGAUUUUUACUUUGGUCUCCAUAUGCUUGAUACAUGUCCCUUAACCAACUAGUGUUGAUUAUAAACUUGGAUGGUACUCCAAUGGCUCUAAAUAUUAAAAAUAUCUAGGCAAGGGCCAUUGUUAUAUUUAAAUUUUGGUCAAGUGGUGGCAUUGGUGUUGGAAGUGCACUUAAUGCACAAGGCACUAGGCCUUUAGCGCAUUUUGCCUCUAAAGCGAAGCGCAUUUUCAAAAAGUUCACCUAAGAUGUGAUUUUUCGGAAUUUCAAUAAGCAUGAAACAUGCCUUUUGAGCUUUUAUUUUUUCAAAAACUAAAUUAGUUAUUAAAUGUGACCCUGAAAUCUUAACAGUAUGAUAUAUGCCUUGAUUUCUUAUACAAAGAUCAAUAUUGUGGUAUGCUAUAAUACCACAUAAGCUCACCCCUCAACACCACAUUACAAAUUCUAGAAGACAAUAUCCAUGGGGGAACACUCAAUCUCACCACUACACAGCAAGACAAUCGAGCCAAAGACAAAGCCCCCUUUUUCUGAAUUGCUGCUUAACUCUCUCUCCUCUCUUUAGUUUUAUGUUCUCUGACCAAAUUUCUGCCUAACUGUCUCUCCUAUACUUGACCCAACAUCUAGUUCCUUUUUUUGGUUCUUGGUAUAACCCUCUUCCUUUUUUUUUUUUUUUUUUUUUUUUUUUUUUUUUUUUUUUUUUUUUUUUUUUUUUUUUUUUUUUUUUUNNNNNNNNNNNNNNNNNNNNNNNNNNNNNNNNNNNNNNNNNNNNNNNNNNNNNNNNNNNNNNNNNNNNNNNNNNNGGGGAGGUCCCCCCCUCCCCCCUCUUGAUCUUUUUAAUUUAUCUUGAAAUUCAUAUCCCUUCUUUUUUCUUUGUUUAAAAGGUUCACUUGUGCCCUAGAGGAAGUAUGAUUUAUGUCGUGGCAAUCAAUUAUCAUGGUUAUGUAAAUUUUGCAAAACAUGAGAAUUAUAUAAAUUGUUAUAUUUCCAUUUUAUAUGAUUAGUUAAUCACUUGAUUGUCAUAUUGUCCAUUAUAAUUGUUCUCCAAUUUCUUACAUCAAAUUUUAAGAAUGUGUUCUUUACUUCAAUCAGGCACAUGCUUGCGCUUUGUGCCUAGACUCCUGGAGGCCUUUGUGCUUCAUGCUUUUACCAACACUAGGUGACACUCAAUCUACAUCAAUGUGUCUCUGUGUAUAUGUGUGUGUGUAUAUAUAUAUAUAUAUAUGCCUUUUUGCCUCUUUUUUUUCUUUGUUUGGUUUGAGAGGCAUUUGGGAUCUGGUCCACAAGGUGGAUCCUGAAGCAAGAGCUAUUUGGUCAGUUUAACUAUGAUUUCCACUUAAAAGAAAAAAUAAAUUUAAAAAUUUUCUGGGUAAGUUCUGCAUUCAGAAUUUUGUGGUUUCUUAUAUGGGCCAGAAUAAAAACUGCUAGAAAGUAGAAACUAUAAGCAUUGAUAAUUAAAUUUAUUACUAUCACUUAAUUUCCUUUAUCAAAGAGAUCCCACAUCUGUUUCAUUUAUUCUACUAAUUUGCAUUGGGUUCUUUUCAUUUUGUUUCAUGCAAACAAAAUUUCAAAACACAGGUACAGAAUCACAUCUUCCUGUAUUUUCUAGUAUCUCUUUUUAACCAAACAGUAUUCAAUUUCCUUAAGAGAAUGAUGUUUUGCUUCUUCUUCCUUUAUCUCUUCUCAUGAAUUAUAUUAUUUGCUGCAAUUAUUCUUAAUCAGUCCUUUCUCUGCCCUGGUGAAGCCCAUGUCCAUAUUUGCAAUUAAGUCCCAUUGUAGAUUUUGGUUGAAGCAGUCCUGUUUUCUAUUUGGAACAUCUUUUGAUUUCUGACAUUUUCUCUCCCCAGAUAUGCCACAUAUGGCAAAAAAUCAAUUGCAUUCCAGUUGUCAAUGCAGUGAUAUCAUUUGAAAUGUUCCUUCCUAGAUGGGGAAGAAUUUUUUGUGUUGGGGGGGGGGGGGGGUGUUUGGAAUUUAGCUCCGUUGUGUUCGAUGUGGUGCAUUUGGAGAGAAUGCAACUGGCGGAAUUUUGAAGACUUAUAUAGAUCCGAUGACUAGUUGCUUGCUCUUUUUUCUAGUUCCCUUUUUGAUUGGUCUAAGGCUUGGCGACUCACAUCUAGUGAAUCUCUCCCUUUGUUCCUUAGCUCUCUUUUUCUCUGUAAUUAGUUUUUUUCCUUUUUUUUUGCUUUUCUCUCUCUUUUUUUGUAAUCUUCGAUAUGCUUUGUGCUUCUUUGCAUAAAGUAUUUUUUCGAAUAUACAUCUUUCUUACUUAACAAAAAAAAAACCACCCUUUUUAAGUUUGUCCUAGGAGUUUUGUGAUUUAUUGGAUUGCUGAAAGAGAUGUUUUGGACAGCAUUGCAGCAUUGACAUUUGGCUUGCAAUUCCUUUGUGUGCCUUAUGUGUUGUAUUUGAAAAGAAAGAAAUGCUCUUAGCUUUGAAACAUGUGAGAGUUUUGUUUUGGAUCUGAAGCUUGUUUCUGUGCUUCCUAUAUGAUUGGGCGGUUACCACUAAUUGCUUGCUUUUCUUUUUCCUAUUUGUUGGAAUUAAUUGAUCUUCUAAAUUUUAGAUGCUAGUUUUACAUUUUAAGGUGUUUCUCUUGUAUACAUCCUGUGUUUUAGGGUUGCAGCUUUUGCUCUUUUUUAAUAAUAUUACUUAUAAAAAGAAAAUCAAAAUAUUUUUUAAAUGAGAAAAACAUUUGAUGAUUGUAGGAGAAAAUUUUUGUUCUUUGCAUAAAUCUAUGCUUGUUUAUGCUGCAGUGCAGUAAUGCCUUUGGUUUAAUUAUAUGCAAAAUUGGAUUUGAAAUUGGUUGUCUUUCAUAUGUAAAUCAGGUUGGAAAGCGUCUUCGACAUCUCACAAAGCAUCCUAGGAAGAAAAUCCAAUCAUUUGCUUCUGAACUGAUGGAGAUAUGGAAGGAUAUAGUUAUAAAGGAAACAAACAGAAACAGAAAAAAUGAAAGCUUGGAUGUUAAGGAUUCUGUCAAAGUUGAGUCUGUAAGUGCAGGGACUCCCAAGGCUGAGAAGGAUCAGAAGCCCUUUUCUGUGAAGGUUGAGAAAGUUUCGAAGGCUGAAAGCAUCAAGGUUGAGAAAAUUGAUCGAAAUGGUACACCAAGCUCGGAGAAAGUUUCAAUGUCAGUUGGUGUCAAAAGAGAGAGAAAGGUUCAAAGUGUAGAUGUUGUCAAGAUUGAGAAAACUGAUUCAGCUGAAAAAGUUAAGUUUGAACAGAGAACCAAAGAAGAAAAGCAAGCUUUUGGAGUGAAGAAACAAUCACUAGUCCCUAGUGCUCCCCCAAAGCUGACAUCAAUGGUUAAAUCUAAUGAUUCUGUCCGGGACAAAGUACGAGAAAGUCUUUGCCAAGCUUUCUCUAAAGUUUCUGAUGAGGCUGAUGAGGAUGUUAAGGAAGAAGUGAAUGCAUGCGACCCUAUUAGGGUUGCUGUUUCUAUAGAGUCUCUUCUGUUUGAGAAGUGGGGAGGUUCACUAGGGGCUCAAAAGGCCAAGUAUAGAUCCUUAAUGUUCAAUCUUAGGGAUGGUAACAACCCAGAUUUUCGGAGAAGGGUACUUCUUGGACAUAUCAAACCAGAGAGGCUUAUCAACAUGAACACAGCAGAAAUGGCAAGUGAUAAGAGGCAAAAUGAGAAUAAAAAGAUUGAAGAGAAAGCAUUAUUUGACUGUGAGCGUGGAGGGCAACCCAAAGCAACAACUGAUCAAUUUAAGUGUGGUAGAUGUGGGCAACGCAAAUGCACCUACUACCAAAUGCAGACACGGAGUGCUGAUGAACCCAUGACAACAUAUGUAACAUGUGUAAACUGCAAUAACCAUUGGAAAUUCUGUUAG